UACGGUAGGGGGCGAGCGUUGUCCGGAUUUAUUGGGCGUAAAGAGCGUGUAGGCGGCUUUACAGGUCCGUUGUGAAAACUCGAGGCUCAACCUCGAGACGCCGGUGGAAACCGUAAAGCUAGAGUCCGGAAGAGGAGAGUGGAAUUCCUGGUGUAGCGGUGAAAUGCGCAGAUAUCAGGAGGAACACCCGUGGCGAAAGCGGCUCUCUGGGACGGUACUGACGCUGAGACGCGAAAGCGUGGGGAGCAAACAGG
rnacentral:rRNA from 1 species